rnacentral:rRNA from 1 species
UUCCGGUUGAUCCUGCCGGAGGCUACCGCUAUUGGAGUUCGAUUAAGCCAUGCGAGUCUAGAGGCUUCGGCCUCGGCGUACCGCUCAGUAACACGUGGGUAACCUGCCCUAUGGAGGGGAAUAACCUCGGGAAACUGAGAAUAAUGCCCCAUAGCCCACUACGCCUGGAACGGUGAGUGGGUCAAAGCUCCGGCGCCAUAGGAUGGGCCUGCGCCGUAUCAGGUUGUAGGGGGUGUAAAGUACCCUCUAGCCAUCAACGCGUACGGGUGUUGGGAGACAUUGCCCGGAGAUGGAUUCUGAGACACGAAUCCAGACCCUACGGGGUGCAGCAGGCGCGGAAACUUGGCAAUGCGAGAAAUCGUGACCAGGGAACUCCAAGUGCGUAGGGUAAGACCUACGCUUUUCUUGACUCUUCAAAGGUCUUGGAAUAAGGGGUGGGUAAGGACGGUGCCAGCCGCCGCGGUAAUACCGGCGCCUCAAGUGGUAGUCGCUUUUAUUGGGCCUAAAACGUCCGUAGCCGGUCUGGUGCAUUCGUGGGUAAAUCAACCCGCUCAACGGGUUGAAUUCUGCGAGCACGGCCAGACUUGGGACCGGGAGAGGUGUGGGGUACUCUCAGGGUAGGGGUAAAAUCCUGUCAUCCUGAGAGGACCACCUGUUGCGAAGGCGCCACACUAGAACGGAUCCGACGGUCAGGGACGAAACCUAGGGGCACGAACCGGAUUAGAUACCCGGGUAGUCCUAGGUGUAAACGCUGUGGACUUGGUGUUGGGAAGGUUCCGAGCCUUCUCAGUGCCGAAGCGAGGUGAUAAGUCCACUGCCUGGGGAGUACGGUCGCAAGGCUGAAACUUAAAGGAAUUGGCGGGGGA